rnacentral:rRNA from 1 species
UGCAAGUCGAGGGGCAGCAUGGAAGAAGCUUGCUUCUUCUGAUGGCGACCGGCGCACGGGUGCGUAACGCGUAUCAAACCUGCCUCAUACUCGGGGAUAGCCUUGCGAAAGUAAGAUUAAUACCCGAUGUUGUUAUAUUGCCGCAUGGUGAUAUAACCAAAGAUUUAUCGGUAUGAGAUGGUGAUGCGUCCGAUUAGGUAGUAGGCGGGGUAACGGCCCACCUAGCCUUCGAUCGGUAGGGGUUCUGAGAGGAAGGUCCCCCACACUGGAACUGAGACACGGUCCAGACUCCUACGGGAGGCAGCAGUGAGGAAUAUUGGUCAAUGGACGCAAGUCUGAACCAGCCAAGUAGCGUGCAGGAUGACGGCCCUCUGGGUUGUAAACUGCUUUUAGUUGGGAAUAAAAAAGAGGACGUGUCCUCUAUUGUAUGUACCUUCAGAAAAAGGACCGGCUAAUUCCGUGCCAGCAGCCGCGGUAAUACGGAAGGUCCAGGCGUUAUCCGGAUUUAUUGGGUUUAAAGGGAGCGUAGGCGGAUUAUUAAGUCAGUGGUGAAAGACGGUGGCUCAACCAUCGUUAGCCAUUGAAACUGGUAGUCUUGAGUGCAGACAGGGAUGCUGGAACUCGUGGUGUAGCGGUGAAAUGCUUAGAUAUCACGAUGAACUCCGAUCGCGAAGGCAGGUGUCCGGGCUGCAACUGACGCUGAGGCUCGAAAGUGUGGGUAUCAAACAGGAUUAGAUACCCUGGUAGUCCACACAGUAAACGAUGUAUACUCGCGGUUUGCGAUAGACAGUAAGCCGCCAAGCGAAAGCAUUAAGUAUACCAC